GCCGACAUAGCUCAGCAGGUAGAGCAGCGCACUCGUAACGCGAAGGUCGGGGGUUCGAUUCCCUCUGUCGGCACCA
rnacentral:tRNA from 1 species